GCUUAUCAAGAGUGGUCGAGGGACAGGGCCCUGUGACACCCGGCAACCGGCUUUUUGUACGGUGCUAAUUCCCACGUAUUUUAAAAUGCGUAAGAUGAG
rnacentral:ncRNA from 1 species